UUAAUCGUAGAGGAACAAUGUAUAUCAACUGACAAUAUGGAGAAAAAUUACAGACAUGCUUAAAUAAAACUAAUUGAGAAGUCUUGUAUUCAUAGACCACGUUUCAAACCAUUGAAGAGUCCUAAAAGAUAAGAAAAUCUGUUUAAAUUUGGUUACAAUUGUGCAUAGAAUUUCGAUCGAGAGAGGAUUUCCUUAUUCAACAUGGAUACAAUUUUCCUUUCAAAAUAAAAAUCAAAUAGGCAAUCUCACAAGAUUCCUAAUCAUAUUUGAGUCACAAAACCUAACAAUCUCCACCUUAACUUAAAUUCCGGUGCAACGAGUAGAGCUCCACAAAAUUUCUCCACCUGAGAAAUAAAUCUGUUUGCAUCAAAAUGAAAUGGCUAAUUUCCUCAACACAAUAACCAAAACUCUCCAUAUAAAUCAUCGUCUUCUACACGACGUCCACAAGCGACACUUGAACCCUACUCUCGAGUUUCCAAAAUUUCACCAUUGAAUUAAUGUUUAUUAAACAGGGUCGAAGCACACCCUGUAGAAGAAAUCAUACAAAAUGCCUGAACAGAAGGUCCCUUGUUAAAAUUAUCGCCUUCAAUGUCCUCAAAAGCAUUGCAGACAUAACUGACACCACGGUACCUAGGGAUGUCAAACGAGCCAAGCGGCUCGUUAAAACUCGCCUCGUGGAUGGCUUGGGCUUGUCAAUUGACGAGCUCGAGCCGAGCAGGGGGUUCAAUCCCACGAGCGGCUCAUGGGCCAUGUGUCCACGAGUCAUUUUUUACGAGGCUCGUGAGCUCGUCAAAAAAUAUGCAAAUUUUUUUUUUUAAAAAAAAGGUCAAAAAAUGUGCAAAUUUACCCCCAAAAAAUUAAUUUUUUUAAAAUCUUGAGCUCGCGAGCGGUUCGUCGGCUCGGCCUGUGUGCUUAUGGCUCGUGAGCUCACGAGCUCGUGGGUUAAAGGGCCAAGCUGAUUGCCAUCCCUAACAGUACCUACGCUCAAUAGAUCUAACCCUAGCAACUAAACACAGUGUAACCGCUGAAAUUGGUGGCAAAGCAGAAUCAUCAACGCUCUUUCGAACAAUGUUUUGAACCAAGCCAGAGCCCGUCAUAAGAGGUACUGUACCAAACUGAAUAUCCACCACGAUACUGAACUUAUCUAUAUGUUUCUUAAUUGGUUCUGCGCUCUCCUGCAAGAUGUACAACUGAGACAUUCUCCAUCCCUCCAAUACAAUCCGCACACCCUUUCGGAUCUUCAAGACUCCAUUUACACCUGAGAAUUUAUAUCCUUUUGCAUCUAGAGUACUAAACGAGAUGAGAUUCCUUUUCAGGUCUGAAACUUGUCGAAUCUGAUCAAUUGUUCUAAUUGUCCCAUCCCCCAGCCUAAAUCUUACUCGACCGAUCCCAAUAAUAGAGCAAAACUGGUUAUUUCGUAUUACAACUCUACCUCACUGAACAAUCUCAUAUGUCUGAAAGAGAUUCCGAUUGAAACAUAUAUGAUGCGAACAUGCCGAGUCAAGAAUCCACUCCUCGCCAGGCCUAGAUUUCACACCAGAUACCACGAUCAACAUCACAUCUCCGCCGUCUAAAAAAUCUUCAACUACAUUUGUUUCAUCUGAAGUCAAAGGUUGCGCUCCAUGAUUUGCAGUUAAAUCACCUUUAGCUUGCAACUUCUCUUAAUCCUUCCGAAUAUGUUCCUUACAUUUGCAGUAGAAACAAUACAAAUUGCUGUUAUUUUUCGAUCUGUCCCUCCGUCAACCACCAUGAGAUACAUGAACCUCCUCAUACGUUGAUACUCCAACCAAAUGCUUCAACUUCCCUUUGAGUGCAAAACAUCGUGAACGUUGUCUAUAGUAAAAAUAUCCCGACUAUACAAAAUGGUGUCCCAAAAUGACGCAUAAGAACCAGGCGGCGAACACAACAGGAUCAAGGUCAAAUCCUCUUCAUCGUGCUUAACUUCCAAUGUCUAAUGUCUCAAGAUCUACAACUAUUUCCUUAAACACGGCAAUAUGAUCCUCCAGUGACCCUCAUUUCGCCAAGCGAUGAUAAUACAACUUCUACUUUAGAGCCAGUUUGUUCGUGAAACUUUUAGUCAUGCAUAACUGCUUCAGUUUCAAUCACAAAGUAGUCGAUGUUUUCUCCUUCAAGACAUUCUGUAGAAUAUUGUUGGAUAAAUGAAGAUGGAUCUGCGAUAAAGCCUUCUGAUCCCUUCGUUGUUUCUUUUCUAUUGUCCAAUCAGCUGGCAUCUUCUCAAAACCCAGCAACGCAUCCUCCAAAUCUAACUGCGCCAGAAUAGCCCUCAUCUUUACUUGCCACAAAGAAAACAUUGUAUUGUGAUCUAGCAACGAAAUGUCAUACUUCAUGGUAGUCAUAUCUGAAAAAAAAUCAACCAAUCCACAGAAGAAGAAUCAAGUUCUCAUACCACUCUUUGGACAUGGAUGAAUUGUAAUGAAUGAGAUUAAUGACACAAUAUGAAAUAAUAAAAAUUACAACAAGAAACAAGAUUAAAAGUAAAAAAGACACAAAGAGAGUUAAUCGAAUAGGAACUACAUAUGUUAACUAACAAUAUGGUGAGAAAUUAUAGACACGACAAUAAUGCUUAAACAAAACUGACAGAUGAGCCUUGUAUUUAUAGGCCAUGUUCCAAAUCCUAGAAGAAUCAUAAAAGGUAAGAAAUCUGUUAAAGUUAGGUUACAAUUGGACAUAGAAUUUCGACUGAGAGAUGAUUUUCUUUCCUUAUUCAACUUUGAUUCAAUCUUCCUUUCUAACUAAAAAUCAAAUACGCAAAAUAAAUACUCGAUGACAAGAAAACAUUCAAUUCUUUGCCAAAUUGUCACAUGCAAUCUGUUCUCAAUAACAAAAUAUUUCUAAUUCUUCAUUAAUUUGACUCUAAUAAAAACAUGUUCCACUUCAAAUUUUCGACACACCCCAAAGUUAGAAAGAAAAUUUUAAUUCUAUAAACUUAAUAUGGUGUAUGUGCAAGCAUGAGACAAAUUAGUGAGGAUUCAGACCAUUUCUAUAUGAGGAGAAUGAUUGUACAGCUUUAAUAAAAAGUUUGAGAUUAACUUAUUACUGCUACGAUGGAUAGAGGACUAAUAUUGAAAUUUUCCCAAAUAUUUGAUCACCAGUCUCGAUAAAGACAACUUUUUGGUACUUAUAAAUUGUUCGACUGACAAGGAUGCAAAAUGCUUAAUUGACGUUGAUAGUUGCAUGUAAAAUUUAUUCAUUUUAUGUUUAGACAGGGAGCUUGACUAGAAACACACUAUAUGUACAGCAGGGCCGGCCUUGAAAAUUUAGCGGCCCUAGGCGUAUAAUUAUUAUGGGACCCCUCAGUACAAAAUUUAUUUUACAAAUCUAACAAUAUGUAAAUAUUUAAAUAAUUAACAUUUUUAUAUUAGAAAGAAAACUUUAUACAAUUCAAAAGAUAGAAUAACAAAAUAAAACUUCUUUCACAACUCGAAAGAUUAGGCUAGCAUAAGAUUUAACCUUCUCACAUUUGGAGAUGUAAAAUUAGUAAUCAAACUGCUAAUAUCAAGUUUGUCCAACAUAUUUUUUUCAAUAGAAAUCAUAGCUAAUCCAUUCAAUUACUCUUAUGACAUGAAUGCUCGAAGAUAAGACUUAAUCAACUUCAACUUUGAAAAACUUCUUUUGACAGAGGCAAAUGUGACAGGAAUAGUCAAUAAUACUCUAUAAGCAAUCCAGGCAUUUGCAUAACAACAGUUCAUUUUCUUAAUGUAAUCCAAUGCAUCAAUUGCUCCAAAAAUGUUUGCAGAUAUCACUUCCCUUAAAAUUUUCAAUUCAGAAAAUAGUUCUAUUCCAUCAAUAUCAGAAAUCGUAUUAUGCUUCAAGUAAUUUUCAAGUUUAAUGCAAGAAUACUUCAAAACACCAUCAUCAAUAGAUUUAAAUCUUUUCAAAUCAAACAAAAAUCCAAAAAUAUUAUAAUAUUUCUGAAAUUGCUCAAAUCUAUUCUGAAGUGAUGAUAGAGCUUGAUCCACUAUAUAUAUGAAAUGAUUGAUCUUAAAAGAUUUUUCAGUUGUUUGUGUUAUCUCUUCAGAAGAAGUCUUAUCAAACUGUUUUUUCUAUGUAUAACCCAUUUUUCACGAAAUAUCAGUUCAAUUUCUAAUUUACUUGCAAUCUCUUUAGCAUCAACCAUUGCCAAUUCAAAAUCAGAUUCUCUAUAACUCUUGAAAAAUGAAAUGAUGCCUUUUAAAUGGUCUAUAGCAACAUCAAUAUGUAUGUCUUCUGCUUGUAACUCUGUUAACAUUAUUCAACACUUCAUACCAAAUAAUCAUUCCAAGUAAGAAUUCAAAAUUGUCAAUUUCAUAUGUUGUCAAACACUCCGCCUCUUAGGAUCAUCAACAUUUGCUAAUUGAAGUAAUACUUUUUUUUUUUUAUCUGCGGAGCUUGAAAUCUUAUCGCUCUAACACUUUCAAUAUGACUUUCCCAACGAGUUUGUGACAAGGGCUUAAGGGUAAGACUAGUUACAUUCUCUUUGAAAACUUUCCAUCGUUUAGUAGAUGAAGAAAAUAAAGUAUAUAUACGUUGCACCACCCCAAAGAAAGAUUUAACUUUUGAACAACAAGUGGCCAUAUCACAAAGUGCAAGAUUAAGACUAUGACAUCCACAAGGAAUGUAGAAUGCUCUAGGAUUUAGUUGUAAGACUAUGACAUCCACAAGGAAUGUAGAAUGCUCUAGGAUUUAGUUGUAAUAGUCUACUUUGAACUCCUUUAUGUUGUCCUUUCAUGUUAGCACUAUUAUCAUAGCCUUGAUCCCUUACAUUAUCAAUAUCAAGUUUUAGAUUAUUCAAAGCAUCCACCAAUUCCUCAAAAAGUCCCUUACCUGAUGUAUCAUCCACUAAUAAAAAUCCUAAAAAGAAUUCUUCAAUCUUCACUGGACUUGUCGAAAUAUCUACACACCUCAAUAUCAUUGACAUUUGUUCUUCGUGACUUGUAUCUGGAGUGCAAUCAAGUAUAACAGAAAAGUAUUUAUAAAUUUUGAGUUUCUCAAUGAUUAUUAUUUUUAUCUCGCCGCUAGCAUAAGUAUCAACUCAUUAUGAAUUUUGUGUCCUAUAUAAUGAUAAUGAAUAUCUUUAUUUUUUAUUCGACGAACAUGCUCUUGCAUUACGAGGUCGAACUCAACAAUCAUUUGAAUCAUGCUUAAAAAGAUACCAUUAUUUUCUUGAUAUAUCUUCUCAUUGUCCCCACGAAAUGCUAAAUUAUUCUCAGCAAGAGUUUCCACCACAGAUAUUAUUCUCAAUAAUACUUGUCUCCAGUGUUCUCUAUCUCUAUUGAUUUGUUCUUGCACACUUUUGUCAAUUGUUGUACUCUUUUCAAAUCUUAAUUCCAUUUCUAUCCAUUUACUCAUGUUAUUGAUGUGGUCACAACUUGGUUCAUGCAUUUUAAGUUUUUACCAAUAUUUUUCCAGUCAUUUACUUCAUCAUGUGCCAAUUGGGUUCUGAUCCCAUCAUUCUUAAAUAACUUACAACAAAAGCAAAAUACUUAAUCCAAACUUUUUGAAUAUAUCAACCAUUUUCUAUCAUACUUCUCUCCAUUAGGUAAUCGUCGAACGUAAUGUGUGGAUGAGAAGUGUCGAUUUGCUCCAUCUUUUGAAAAAAUCAUAUCAUUUUCUCUUACAGGACCUUUCAUUACAAUUAAAUCUAUUAAAUUCGUAUUCAUAUUUCCCCAAUUUGCUGGAUCAACAAGGUCAACAGAAAAUGGUUCAUUAUCUUUGUCAGUAGAUAUCUCUUCAUUCAUCACACAAUGUCCUUCUUCAAUUAUAUUAUUAUUGUUGUCAUUCUCAUUUAACACUUCUUCAGUAGCUAUGUCAUCGUUGUGUGUUCAUUUACUACUACCAAAAAACUUAUCAAGUGCUCUCUCUUGAGAUUUAAUCAACUUUUCAAUCUUUUCCUUCCUUUUUCUUUUGGCACAUCCAAAUUCAAAUUUUCUCGUAGACAUAAUAACAAGUAAAGAGCGAUAAAACCUGAAUGAUGAGUCCCAAAAUGAAAUGAUUCAGAAAUUGGUGGUCGCGGUGGUGAUUGAAGUAGACAAUGCUGCUGUAAGAUGAUAUAGAACAUAAUUGAGCACUUUUAUUCAAAAAAUAUGGAACAUAAUUAGAGCAAUUUUAUCCAAAUUAAAUUCAAAGAAAAAAGACAUAAGAUGAUAAGAAAAUGAACUAAAUAACUAAUAAGAUGUACUUUCACAGACAUGUAUCUAUAGAGAGGCAACCCACAAUGAAUUUUGGAAAGUACUUUUCCGUCUAUCUGUA
rnacentral:lncRNA from 1 species